AUGAAGUUGAAUGCUUCGCCAGGGCCGGAUGGCUUCAAUGUUGAGUUUUAUCUAGCUGUAUGGGAUUGGAUAGGAGAUGAGGUCACCCAGUUGGUGGUUAAUUUUUAUAAAUCGGGUAUAUUGCCACCUCAUAUUAGUGACACUAACAUUGCUCUCAUUCCAAAAAAACUGGUUCCCCAGGUUCCUAUGGAUUAUCGUCCCAUUAGCCUUUGUAAUGUCAUAUACAAAAUCAUUGCCAAAUCCUUAGCUAAUCGCCUCAAGCCUCUUCUCCCUAAUUUUAUUGACCAUGCUCAACAGGCUUUUAUUGAGGGUAGAAGGAUUAGUGAUAAUAUUAUUAUU
rnacentral:rRNA from 1 species